CAAGGAAUAGUUUAUUAAAAACAUUAAUUUUGGGGAUUAAAAAUAUAAGUUAUUUUAUUUUCUUGA
rnacentral:tRNA from 1 species